AAAUGAGGUCUCAUCUCUGAGUUAGAGUAAACUAUUAAAACUUAAAACUUACUCAUUUUACCUUUCACCAUGGGGCUUGUAACCAUCACUUGUGUCUUGAGCAGUUAAAAGAUAGAACAGUCUAGUCAAGCGUCAUGUCUCUUAUUCUUGAUCAGCUAUAACUCUAGAGUUUUUACAGAUUUUUAAAUAAAACUCAGAGAUUCAUUUAUAUGACUCUCUCAGAUCUCUCUUUUGUGGUAUUUCUGGAUCCUUACCAAGCAGUGAUGGUAUAUACCUUCUCUCAAAGUAUGUGGUAUUUUUUGGUAUGAGGCAUAGUGACAUUGUCUUCUCUCUCACCCUACUCUAAUAAGGUUUUGAUAUCUGGAGCUCAUAGGUGGAAGAUAGAGUAUACAUACUUACAAGACAUUUAUUGCAUAGUCAAACCAUGGAUCCAGAGAAACAAGUCAAUAAGUCAAAUCAAGAUGUGCAUGUGUGGCGAGUGAAUGGUGUAUGGUGAUGAUGGUGAUAACAAUGGUGAAAGUCUAAUUCUACUUUUGCUCUUUUGAGGGGGUACAUACCUUCCUUGCACUUGAAGCUUUUGAGGAGAAUGAGAUGCUCUAUAUUUUAUUUUUCUUUUCUCUUAGGUGGGUAUCUUGUACCCCUAAUUCUACUAUCAGACACUUGUCCAUUUUUACCUCUCGUCUCACUUUUUUUCGAGGUUUCGGGCACUUGCCCCUUUUUAUUUCCUUGUAUUUUUCCUUUUUCUUCUCUCUCUCUUUUUUAGAGCACUCACCCUCCUGGAAUAAUGUAGCAAGUGGUAGUUAUCAAAAUAUCUUGAGCAUUUAUUUCAUAGGGAAAAAUAGAAAUGGGAUAAUGGUUUUGGCUAUUCUCUCCCGGAUAGGAGCAGAAUAAUUUUAGGUGAAUCUGGAGAUGGAAUUGAGUGGAUGUAUGUGGAUUCGUACUUUCGGAGUAGAAGUAGCAUGUAUGAGUGAACGUGCAAGUGAAUCUUGAUUUUAACCGCAGGACAAGCUCCUAAGGGUCUACACAGCUUGACCACACUCAAUGCUCAUAAGCACUAAGAAGUAAAUGUAUGGUUCAUAGUCUAAUAAACAUGUAUUUAUGGUUGUGGUAGGAUUUUAAACUCUCAUCAUACAGGAACUCAUCAUGCAAUGUUUUAAAGAUUUUUAAAGAUAAAAUUCUCCAGAAUUCUAGCAUAUCUAGGAACAGAUAAACAACAGCUCAACCUUCCCAUAUCGUAUCCAUUAACGACUUAGACUUUAGAUCAAGUACUCUUCCUACAAGUUCAGGUUUAGAGCAAAUCUUAAUUCAUAACAGUCAUGACUAAACUUGAGACAGAUUUCAAUUUUGAGAACUAGUCAUGGCAGAGCAACUAUUCAUCAUUUCCAUAUGAGAGCUUAUCAUGAGGGUUCUUAGCAAACUUUAUUUAUUUAUUUAUUCAGCAAACUAAGCAAAGAUAUAUAUAAGCACAAAAUCUUUAUGGGUUUUUAUGAUUAUGCAUCUUUUUAUUAAUUGAGUAAAGUAUAAACGCGAGUAGAAACACUUAACUAGAUAAAUGGGGGUGCUCUCCCCCAAGCUGGAUUUUGACGUAAUUUCUUGUGAUGUAGCUAGCAAGUGACGGAGGUGUAUUUGAAUGUCGGCAGCACCCUGACAGCGAUUCCGUUUGCUAGUCUUCUUUGAACCUUGAAUUCUGUGGAGCACAAAUAGACAACAAAGCUUUGUGGAACUGGUUAAGUGUUUAGCAUAAAAUCUCUUAGCCGUUAUCAUGCUGAGCCUCCUCAAUAAAUGUUACUCUCUUUAGUAGGAUCACAAUCUUAUUUUUAUAUUUUUAUUUUUAUAGGACAGGAAUAUAUUUAUUUUAUUUUUACGCCACUACAGUGAAUGUACUUAUGGGUUUUAUGCCACGAGCAUACUCACAUGGGGCUUACUAUUUUUAAUAUUUUUAUUUUCUUUUCAAGAUAGUUACUGCGAGAUUCAUUGUCUGCAUCCACUGGUCCUCAAGGUUUGCCCCAAGCAUCUUUACAAGGUUCUUUGCGGCAUCUCUGCACUUUGAACCAGUAAGCUGGGUUCUCAGUGAAUCCAAGCAUCCAGGACGGAGAUCACGAGGAGCCUCGUAGAUGCACACCAGGAAGGCCAGGGACAAGAAAACUAUGUUGAACACGUCCUUGAAGUUGGCAUGAGGCUGUGCCCCAGGGAACCGAAAUGACAAUUUCUUGUCUGGACAAUACCUCAUCACUGAGUUGACAAUGUCGACGAACACCUGUAUCAUAUCUUGUUCGUCUAGAGUUUGCUGUGUCUUUGUUUUCAGGUGGACUGGUUUUGACGUCACAACCAAGGAGAAGCUUAUAAAAGUGAUAGUCAAGUACCUUAAGAUGUUACCUUACUUGAAGAGUGAUGGUACAGUAUCACCUUGUGGAAGCUUUCCUUUCUUAGCGGUUGUGCAUCGUGUUUGUGGCACCCUCCUUGGAUCAUCUCUUAUGAGCUAUGUCUUCCUUGUGUAAAUUGUUAAACUUCAUGUGUCUCUCUCUUUGUCUCCAAUAUGAGUUUAUCUCAGGAAUUCCCAGGUCGAUAUUGAAAGUUUUCCUACAGGGGUUAGUCCAACAAAAUAUCCAAUAUCUACUAUAGCACACUAUCGGCUCAACCUAGACACCUUGUCUAAUUUGAUUUAGGAUGGCAUUUUAACCUAAGUACCAUGCUUAAUUUAAAAUCCCUUGGAAGUAAGAUCAUCAUUCCUAAACUAAGCACCUUGCUUAUUUAAGAGAUAAAUGAAACUACUCCAAACCUAGACAUAUACUAAAGCAAAUAAAGGUAGCAUGAGAGCAUUUAUAGAGAUCUACUCAAGUGCAGAUGACGUAGUGUGAUUAGUAUUUAACAAAUUGAGCAUGUCUCAAAGUAGGGACAACCAACACAACAACAUGGCAAAGGAUGUUUUUAUGUAAAGUACUCCCCCAAGCUUGAAUUUUGCAAAAUUCAAGUUUGGAUGAAUUUAAUUUAAUGUUGUAUGAUGAUUGGUUGGACAUACCUUGUGCUUGUCAUUCAUCCGAUCUUCUUGCUCCAAUCCUGGAAAGGUUAGUGACAAGAAUACCCAAAGGAAUAUUUUUACAAUUAUCCUUAUAUGCUCAAUACACAAGGUAAUGUUGCAAAUAAUUAAAAGCUCAUGUUACGAUCUGAUCAGUGCUUAUUUUAGGACACUAAGCUUGUCCUUGGGAAACCAUCAAUUUAUGUCAGUGAAGUGGUUUCCCCUCCAAUGUUGACCUAUAUCAAGAUCAACUCAACGAGAUCUGCAAUAUUUAUUAUAGACAUAUGCAUCGACAACCGCCCUUUUAAAGUUUUUAUAAAUAGAAAGGAAGACAGGGUUGGAGAUCUCAAAUGUGGUGAUGUUGGAGAGACCAAUAGAUUGGGAAGAUGUUGCAUAUGAGCAUGGAGUAAACAAAGUGUCUAUGAAAUAAAUUCCAUGCUCAUUAAUGUUAUCGUCGUCUCCAAUCUAAAUGUUCAGAGUUUCUCCUAGAUUGGUCUCGCCUAUGUCCUCUUCUAUAGUUGGAUGAAUCUCAUCUUCAAAGGGAGUCAAGAACUCACUGUUUGAAAUUGAGCCAAAGUCAGAAUCCAUUAAGGCUUCUUCCUUGUCCAUCCAUUCUACACAUUCUAGCCAUUUAGAACUUGUGAUCAGGAAAGGGGAGGUGUUAGAAUUUUCUAUAUCGCUUAGCUCUCCUUCUAUGACAUUACUUGACAUGUCAUCCUCAUGGUCUUUAUGACUCCUAUGGUUUGAUCGUCUUGAUGGAUUGCUAGGAUCAUCAUGAGACUGAAAAGGAGAGGGAUAAGAGGGGUCUCUAUGGUCAAGGAUGGAUUCAGAAUUUGUGAACAAGGAAGGGGAGCAGAUAGAAUCUUCUAUAUGGUUUAGCUCUCCUUCACUUGAUAUGUCAUCCUCAACUUCUUCAUAACAGGAACCAGGACAUUCUCUAAGAGAACCACUAUUGCAAGGAUUUGAAUUAUUCCUGCAUGAAGGUCUCUUAUGGAACCAGAAGUCUAAACCAUUAGCAUCUGAAAGAUUUAAGGUCGGAAUUCCUUCCUCCCUUGGAGAAUUUUGGGGUAUUGAUGGUUUAGGAUCGAUAGCUAAAGUUUGGGAUUGAAGUGGUUGUCAUUUGGCUAUCGAAACUUCCUCUUCUUGUCUAGGAACUUAUUCUUUCUCUUUCUCAGGGAUAUAAAUGCUAGGAGACUUUCCGCUCAUUAAAUCAAUCAAAUUCAAGCCUCACUAGCGGACAGGCGGUGGAAGGAUCCUCCAGAGGCCGCAUUAAGGGUUUGCUUAUUUCCCUACUAAGGCCCUUAAAAAGUGAAUUAGAAGAACUUCUUCUGGAAUAGAAAGAUUUGGGCCAGUGAGAGUAAGGUCAAUAAAGCGGUCCCAUGAUUCGCCAAGAGAUUCUUCUUCUAGUUGUCUAAAAGAAAGAAUCUCAUUCCGAAGAUCCGCCACUUUGGAGAUCGGAAAAUAUUUAAAAACAAAACUAUUGUAUAGCUCCUUCCAAUCUCCAUGAGUACUCCUACGUUGAGUUUAUACCAAUGUCUAGCUUUUCCUGUUAAAGAGAACGGAAAGAGCUUCCAUUUAAGGGUCUCAUCGGACAUGCCUUCUAUGCGAAGGAGGUCACAGAUUCGUCCAAACUCUUCGAGGUGUGUGUAUGAGUUUUCCUCACCUUCUCCUGAGAAAGGAUGUUUUGAAGAAAUUCUAUGGAUUCUGGGCUUAUCUUAAAACUAGAUGUCAUGAUAGGCUUUGAAGAUUUUGGUGGUUUGAGAUGUGUGCCCGUAGGUCUAUGAAAUUGAUAGAUAGACAUGUUUGCAUUCAUGAUAGACCAGAGAUUAAGGAUUAGAUAAGAAGAAAGAAUAGCAGAGAUGAGGCAAAGGAUAGAAGGAAAAUAUAUUAUAUUAUAUUUUCUUUUUUUAUUUUUAGAAAAAUGAUUAAGCUAGUUCUUAGUCAACUCAGCAACCGUCUCCCCGACAACAGCGCCAAAAAGCUUGUUGACACUUGCUAACACCACUUAAAUACUAGGUUGUCAUCCCCAGCAUGGCACUAGAGUGUACUAUGGUAUUUAUACGCACACAGAUAAAUCCGCAAGCGCAUGGAUACCAUUGUAGCUUUUACCCGGUUAAAGGUUUUAUCGUAUCCAUAGGGAAAUGGGAGAACCAACUACGCUCUAACCUAACCAAGAUAGAUAGAUAGGUGUAAAUAGGAGAGAUGGUAGACUUGAAUAAGGACAAUAUUAAAGGUAAAAUGAUAAUGGGGGAAUAUAGAGUAGAGCAAUCUAAUCUAUGGGCGUGUGGGGGUAUAAACCCCUAUACCCUUACGGCUGGGCUUGGGCCAGGAGGCUUGGCCCAUCAUGAAGACAGUCCGAGGUUUGAUCCAACUGCUCGGAGUUUCACGCAAGGAAACAAGACGUGGAGAUCAAGCCAGAUUCUAGUCGGUUAGAAUAGGAAUUGAUAUCGUAUUAUCUAUGGCAAUUGUAACCGACUAGGAUUAGUUUCCAGAUCUGUAACCCUGCCCUCUGGACUAUAUAAGGUGAGGCAAGGGACCCCCCUUAGGACACAUUAUCUCUCAACACAAUCCAAUACAAUCGGACACAGGACGUAGGUAUUACGCCCACACGGCGGCCGAACCUGGAUAAAAACCUUGUCUGUGUCUUGCGUCACCAUCGAGUUCGUAGCUUGCGCACCGUCUACCAAUAAACUACUACCGUGGGUAUACCCCAAGGUAGACUGCCGACUAGCUUUCGUCGACAAUGGCGCGCCAGGUAGGGGGUGUGCGUGCAGCUCUCUCGACGAACAAGAUGGUCAUCGUUCCAGCUUCCGCGGCCAUGCCUGAAGGCCUCACGUUCACCGUCGACCAGAUCACAUGGACGACUCAUGGCGGCGGCCUCACGACCACGACUUCGGAAGAAACCCAGAUCCGAUCUGGGACGACAGUGGCGUCGAUUCUGAUCACGUCAACACCGAGCACUCGACCUCCGCUCCCUCGUUAGAGGGGAAAGAAGGUCGACGACUCGGAUCUUUUCCAAGCCCUUGAUCGCACCGAUCUCAGGCUCUUCGAAGCUUCCCGACUGGUAGAUGGGAUCUCGCGCCGAUCUGAUCAAGUCGCGUCGAUAGACUCUUUCGACUCCUGCUGGCCAACUCGUGUCGUCACACACGAACAGCUGGGGACGUCUCUGACAAUAACUUCCAUCCCCACGGGGCGGUCCAUCGAGCUCAAGGCAGACUCAGACCAGAGUCCUCCCUACGGACUAAACAAUUUGGCCUUCCACUACUCACGGCACAUCCGAUCCCUUUUCAAAAGGGCGGGCUGGUCGCCGAGACAGAGCAGUCGACCAGCUCACCAUUACGUCAACAUGGUGUCAAUCCAAGUACUGCCGAACGACCAGGCUUCCAGCAUAAAGUCCAGCACAGGGUCCAUCCCUACCGAGGUUAUAAACUCUAAGGACGAAGAUUACGACCUGGAUUUACCAUCGUAUCCCCCGGGUUUUUCUCGCUUUCCAGUCUUUCCACCCCGGCGGGGAGAUCUUAUCUUCAAUGUCAGCAACGACGAACCGGUCGUCGACGGAGAAAUAGACGAGCAGAAGUAGCUCCGCGAACAGCGCAAUGCCGACCGCGCUCGACGGCGCGCGGAUGAGGAACGGCAAUUUGCGCCGCAUAACCUCAGUGAUGCUUUCGACAUGGUCGGAGAUCAGCAAGUCUACAGAACGCCAAGUGCUAACGUGGCUGUUGCUAUGGCAAACCUGGACCGACUCCCUGAUACUCCUGAGUGCCAAAGUGUCCGAUAUAGUAUACGCGCACACCUGAUCGCCGCAAUGGGACAGACAGCCACCUUACUGUUGACACUUGCUAACACAACUUGAAUACUAGGUUGUCAUCCCCAGCAUGGCACUACAGUGUACUAUGGUAUUUAUACGCACACGGAUAAUCCGCAAGCGCAUGGAUACCGUUGAAGCUUUUACCCGGUUAAAGGUUUUAUCAUAUCCACAGGGAAACGGGAGAACCAACUACGCUCUAACUUAAUCAAGAUAGAUAGAUAGGUGUAAAUAGGAAAGAUGGUAGAAUUGAAUAAGAACAAUAUUAAAGGUAAGAUAACAAUAGGUGAUAAUAUGGGAAUAGAGAGUAGAGCAAUUCUAGUAUAUGGGCGAUGGUAGCAGAAUAGAGAGGAUAACUAUGGUUUCUCUACUACAAAGGGGUAUGUCUAUGUCUGGGACGAACCACGUGAUAAGAUUACACCACAAAGGAUGCUUAUCCAUAGGCCGAUAAACCCUACCCAUCCUGCUAACGAGAGGUGGACUACAAAGGACCAACGUAACUGUCACCUACACGGCCUACCACACGAUCCAGCUAGACAGGGGAUAUCCACAAGUAAUCUAGGUCUAAGCACCACGCUUACACCUAUACUACAACUCUAACCUAUAGCGUCCUAUAGAUUAGAAGUACUCAAAAGAGUUGUGAACCAGAACAUACUUGAUUAGUAAUUGCAUAAUGAAUUAGAAGUAGAUUACCAGAGUCAUCCCAUGAGCAAGCUUGAUUAGAGCUUGAUCAUGACGAAGUACAACCGGAGGAAGAACCGACAGGCCGGCCUCUCCUCUAAUCCUCCUUCGCUCUCCAUCUCGCUACUAUCUAGAUCUACUCUAGUUUAGAGAAGAGAGGAGAGCUCUCAUCUCUAAACCCUAGCUUUUGCUCUAUCUAUGAAUAAUGAAUAAUGAUCAAGGGGUGCCUCCUCCAGGGGCCAGGGGGUCUGGUUAUAUAGUCCCCUCAAGUGAACCUGGGCCGUCGGAUCAAACCGACAUUGAUUGAACGGUUAUUCUUGAUCCUUUAGGUCAGUGGAGAUCUCCCAAGAGAAAGAGUCCUGAUUGGGUUCCAAGUCAGGGCGGGCGCCCAGGGCAGGAGGGCGGGCGCCCUGUCCCUGACUCCGUUCGGCCUCCGCUUCCUUCCCAUGGCUUCUGGAGUCUUCUAGAUGUAAGAUAAUUGCGUGGCACGUUAAUAUCUCUAUGUAAUCCCGACGUGUGGGCCUUUCUUCCGUAUUUCCUGAUAACCCCCUGCAGAAAUAGACAAACACCAAAACUCGUGGAAUUCUGUUAGAUAAAACCCUAAGUCUAGAUGUUGAUUUCAUUUGGAUCCUUUUCUUUGUUUAUUUGCUUAUUAAAUUUGAUACUUAAGGACCGUCAACAAACUCCCCUAAGCUUACCUCUUGCUCGUCCCUGAGCAAGGAUAGUCUCAGCAAUGGAUCAGAAGUUGUUGCAAUAUCUUAAAAAUUUGACGGUACACAUGCUUUUAAAUAAGAUCUCAUCUCUGAGUUAGAGUAAACUAUCAAGAACUAAAACUUACUUACUUUACCUUUCACCAUGGGACUUGUAACCGUCACUUCUGUCUUGAGUAGUUAAAAGAUAGAACAGUCUAGCCAAGUGCCAUGUCUCUUAUUCUUGAUCAGCUAUAGCUCUGGAGUUUUUGCAGAUUUUCAAAUAAAACUCAGAGAUUCCUUGUAUGACUCUCUAAAUCUCUCUUUUGUGGUAUUUCUGGAUCCUUACCAAGGCAGUGAUGGUAUAUGCCUUCUCUCAAGAUAUGUGGUAUUUGUGGUAUAAGGUAUAGUGACAUUGCCUUCUCUCUCACCCUACCCUAAUAAGGCUUUAAUAUCUGGAGCUCAUAGGUGGGAGAUAAAGUAUACAUACUUAUAAGACAUUUAUUGUAUAGUCAAACCAUGGAUCCAAAGAAACAAAUCAAUAAGCCAAAUCAAGAUGUGCAUGUGUGGCGAAUGAAUGGUGUAUGGUGAUGAUGGUGAUAACAAUGGUGAAAGUCUAAUUCUACUUUUGCUCUUUUGCGGGGAUACAUACCUUUCUUGCACUUUGAAGCUUUUUGAGGAGAAUGAGAUGCUCUUCUUUUUCUUUCCUCUCAGGUGGGUAUCUUGUACCCCUAAUUCUACUGUCGGACACUUGUCCAUUUUUACCUCUCGUCUCACUUUUUCUUUCUUUCGAGGUUCCGGGCAGUUGCCCCUUUUUAUUUCCUCAUUUAUUUUUUUCUUUUCUUCUCUUUUCUUUUUUUUUCAGAGCACUCAUCUCUUGAGAUAAUAUAGCAAGUGGUAGUAGCAAGAUAACUUGAGCAUUUAUUUCACAAGGAAAACAGAAAUAUUUUUGGCUAUUCUCUCCCGGAUUAGGAGUAGAAUAUUUUUGGGUGGUUCUGGAGAUGGACAUAGAUGGAUAUAUGUGGAUGGUACUUACGGAGUAGAAGUAGCAUAUAUGAGUGAACGUGCAAGUGAAUCUUGAUUUAACCACAUGACAAGCUCCUAAGGGUCUACACAGCUUGACCACACUCAAUGCUCAUAAGCAGUAAAUAGUAAAUGUGUGGCUCAAAGUCUAGCAAGCAUGUAUAUAUGGCUGUGCUAGGAAUUUAAACUCUCAUCAUACAGGAACUCAUCAUGCAAUAUUUUAAAGAUUUUCCAAAGAUAAAAUUCUCCAGAAUUCUAGCAUCUCUAGGAACAGAUAAACAACAGCUCAACCUUCCCAUAUCAUAUCCGUUAACAACUUAGAUUUCAGAUCAAGUUUUCAUCCCACAAGUUUAGAUCUAGAGCAAGCUUUAAAUUAUAACAGUUAUGUCUAAAUUUGAGAGAGAACUUCAAAUUUGCAAAUUAGGUAGAGCAACUAUUCAUCAUAUCCAUGCUAGAGUUUCAUUAUUAAGAUUCAGAUUAGCAUAGCCACUUUAUUUAUUUAUUAAACACACUAAGCAAAAGAUAUAUAUAAGCACAAAAUCUUUAUUUGGUUUUUCAUAGUUUAUGUAUUUUAAUAUUCUAACAUAAUAUAAGUAUAAAGAUAGGUAGAAAUACUUAGCGAGAUAAAUGGGGGUGCUCUCCCCCAAGCUGAAUUUUGAAGUAAUUUCUCUUGAUGUAGCUAGCAGGUGGC
rnacentral:lncRNA from 1 species